UACGUAGGGUGCGAGCGUUAAUCGGAAUUACUGGGCGUAAAGCGUGCGCAGGCGGCUUUGUAAGACAGAUGUGAAAUCCCCGGGCUCAACCGGGGAACUGCAAUUGUUACUGCAAGGCUAGAGUACGGCUGAGGGGGAUGGAAUUCCGCGUGUAGCAGUGAAAUGCGUAGAUAUGCGGAGGAACACCAAUGGCGAAGGCAA
rnacentral:rRNA from 1 species